rnacentral:rRNA from 1 species
GACAGAGGCCUCGAGCGUUAGGCGGAAUCACUGGGCUUAAAGCGUGUGUAGGCGGGCCCGUAAGUGUCUUGUGAAAUCCCACGGCUCAACCGUGGAACUGCCGGGCAUACUGCGGGUCUUGGGCCAACUAGGGGCAGCCGGAACAAGCGGUGGAGCGGUGAAAUGCGUAGAUAUCGCUUGGAACGCCGAAGGUGAAAACAGGCUGCUGGGGUUGCGCCGACGCUGAGACACGAAAGCCAGGGGAGCAAACGGG